GGUUAAGCGACUAAGCGUACACGGUGGAUGCCCUGGCAGUCAGAGGCGAUGAAGGGCGUGCUAAUCUGCGAUAAGCGCCGGUAAGGUGAUAUGAACCGUUAUAACCGGCGAUACCCGAAUGGGGAAACCCAGUGUGACUCGUCACACUAUCAUUAACUGAAUCCAUAGGUUAAUGAGGCGAACCGGGGGAACUGAAACAUCUAAGUACCCCGAGGAAAAGAAAUCAACCGAGAUUCCCCCAGUAGCGGCGAGCGAACGGGGAGGAGCCCAGAGCCUGAAUCAGCAUGUGUGUUAGUGGAAGCGUCUGGAAAGGCGCGCGAUACAGGGUGACAGCCCCGUACACAAAAGCGCAUGUGCUGUGAGCUCGAUGAGUAGGGCGGGACACGUGGUAUCCUGUCUGAAUAUGGGGGGACCAUCCUCCAAGGCUAAAUACUCCUGACUGACCGAUAGUGAACCAGUACCGUGAGGGAAAGGCGAAAAGAACCCCGGCGAGGGGAGUGAAAAAGAACCUGAAACCGUGUACGUACAAGCAGUGGGAGCACAGGUUUACCUGUGUGACUGCGUACCUUUUGUAUAAUGGGUCAGCGACUUAUAUUCUGUAGCAAGGUUAACCGUAUAGGGGAGCCGGAGGGAAACCGAGUCUUAACCGGGCGUUAAGUUGCAGGGUAUAGACCCGAAACCCGGUGAUCUAGCCAUGGGCAGGUUGAAGGUUGGGUAACACUAACUGGAGGACCGAACCGACUAAUGUUGAAAAAUUAGCGGAUGACCUGUGGCUGGGGGUGAAAGGCCAAUCAAACCGGGAGAUAGCUGGUUCUCCCCGAAAGCUAUUUAGGUAGCGCCUCGUGAAUUCAUCUCCGGGGGUAGAGCACUGUUUCGGCUAGGGGGCCAUCCCGGCUUACCAACCCGAUGCAAACUGCGAAUACCGGAGAAUGUUAUCACGGGAGACACACGGCGGGUGCUAACGUCCGUCGUGAAGAGGGAAACAACCCAGACCGCCAGCUAAGGUCCCAAAGUCAUGGUUAAGUGGGAAACGAUGUGGGAAGGCCCAGACAGCCAGGAUGUUGGCUUAGAAGCAGCCAUCAUUUAAAGAAAGCGUAAUAGCUCACUGGUCGAGUCGGCCUGCGCGGAAGAUGUAACGGGGCUAAACCAUGCACCGAAGCUGCGGCAGCGAACGUAUCACUUAAAGCGAUUCAGCGGGUUACGAUUGACGGAGCGAAGCGACGUCAAAGCGUAUACAAAGUCGAGUCGGUUUAAGGAUACGUUCGUUGGGUAGGGGAGCGUUCUGUAAGCCUGUGAAGGUGUGUCGUGAGGCAUGCUGGAGGUAUCAGAAGUGCGAAUGCUGACAUAAGUAACGAUAAAGCGGGUGAAAAGCCCGCUCGCCGGAAGACCAAGGGUUCCUGUCCAACGUUAAUCGGGGCAGGGUGAGUCGACCCCUAAGGCGAGGCCGAAAGGCGUAGUCGAUGGGAAACGGGUUAAUAUUCCCGUACUUGGUGUUACUGCGAAGGGGGGACGGAGAAGGCUAUGUUGGCCGGGCGACGGUUGUCCCGGUUUAAGCGUGUAGGCUGGUUUUCCAGGCAAAUCCGGAAAAUCAAGGCUGAGGCGUGAUGACGAGGCACUACGGUGCUGAAGCAACAAAUGCCCUGCUUCCAGGAAAAGCCUCUAAGCAUCAGGUAACAUCAAAUCGUACCCCAAACCGACACAGGUGGUCAGGUAGAGAAUACCAAGGCGCUUGAGAGAACUCGGGUGAAGGAACUAGGCAAAAUGGUGCCGUAACUUCGGGAGAAGGCACGCUGACACGUAGGUGAAGUGAUUUACUCAUGGAGCUGAAGUCAGUCGAAGAUACCAGCUGGCUGCAACUGUUUAUUAAAAACACAGCACUGUGCAAACACGAAAGUGGACGUAUACGGUGUGACGCCUGCCCGGUGCCGGAAGGUUAAUUGAUGGGGUCAGCGCAAGCGAAGCUCCUGAUCGAAGCCCCGGUAAACGGCGGCCGUAACUAUAACGGUCCUAAGGUAGCGAAAUUCCUUGUCGGGUAAGUUCCGACCUGCACGAAUGGCGUAAUGAUGGCCAGGCUGUCUCCACCCGAGACUCAGUGAAAUUGAACUCGCUGUGAAGAUGCAGUGUACCCGCGGCAAGACGGAAAGACCCCGUGAACCUUUACUAUAGCUUGACACUGAACAUUGAGCCUUGAUGUGUAGGAUAGGUGGGAGGCUUUGAAGCGUGGACGCCAGUCUGCGUGGAGCCGACCUUGAAAUACCACCCUUUAAUGUUUGAUGUUCUAACGUGGACCCGUGAUCCGGGUUGCGGACAGUGUCUGGUGGGUAGUUUGACUGGGGCGGUCUCCUCCUAAAGAGUAACGGAGGAGCACGAAGGUUGGCUAAUCCUGGUCGGACAUCAGGAGGUUAGUGCAAUGGCAUAAGCCAGCUUGACUGCGAGCGUGACGGCGCGAGCAGGUGCGAAAGCAGGUCAUAGUGAUCCGGUGGUUCUGAAUGGAAGGGCCAUCGCUCAACGGAUAAAAGGUACUCCGGGGAUAACAGGCUGAUACCGCCCAAGAGUUCAUAUCGACGGCGGUGUUUGGCACCUCGAUGUCGGCUCAUCACAUCCUGGGGCUGAAGUAGGUCCCAAGGGUAUGGCUGUUCGCCAUUUAAAGUGGUACGCGAGCUGGGUUUAGAACGUCGUGAGACAGUUCGGUCCCUAUCUGCCGUGGGCGCUGGAGAACUGAGGGGGGCUGCUCCUAGUACGAGAGGACCGGAGUGGACGCAUCACUGGUGUUCGGGUUGUCAUGCCAAUGGCACUGCCCGGUAGCUAAAUGCGGAAGAGAUAAGUGCUGAAAGCAUCUAAGCACGAAACUUGCCCCGAGAUGAGUUCUCCCUGAGACUUAAAGUCUCCUGAAGGAACGUUGAAGACGACGACGUUGAUAGGCCGGGUGUGUAAGCGCAGCGAUGCGUUGAGCUAACCGGUACUAAUGAACCGUGAGGCUUAACCUU
rnacentral:rRNA from 1 species